AGAGUUUGAUCAUGGCUCAGGACGAACGCUGGCGGCGUGCUUAACACAUGCAAGUCGAGCGGUAAGGCCCCUUCGGGGGUACACGAGCGGCGAACGGGUGAGUAACACGUGAGCAACCUACCCUCAACUUUGGGAUAAGCCUCGGAAACGGGGUCUAAUACCGGAUAUGACUGCGGACUUCAUGGUUUGUGGUUGAAAGUUCUGGCGGUUGGGGAUGGGCUCGCGGCCUAUCAGCUUGUUGGUGGGGUAAUGGCCUACCAAGGCUUCGACGGGUAGCCGGCCUGAGAGGGCGACCGGCCACACUGGGACUGAGACACGGCCCAGACUCCUACGGGAGGCAGCAGUGGGGAAUAUUGCGCAAUGGACGAAAGUCUGACGCAGCAACGCCGCGUGAGGGAUGACGGCCUUCGGGUUGUAAACCUCUUUCAGCAGGGACGAAGCGAGAGUGACGGUACCCGCAGAAGAAGGACCGGCCAACUACGUGCCAGCAGCCGCGGUA
rnacentral:rRNA from 1 species